rnacentral:rRNA from 1 species
UACGGGGGGGGUAAGCGUUGUUCGGAAUUACUGGGCGUAAAGGGCUCGUAGGCGGCCAACUAAGCCAGACGUGAAAUCCCUCAGCUUAACUGGGGAACUGCGUCUGAUACUGGAUGGCUUGGAUUUGGGAGAGGAAUGCGGAAUUCCAGGUGUAGCGGUGAAAUGCGUAGAUAUCUGGAGGAACACCGGUGGCGAAGGCGGCAUUCUGGACCAAUAUUGACGCUGAGGAGCGAAAGCCAGGGGAGCAAACGGG